rnacentral:tRNA from 1 species
GCCAUAGUGGUGCAAUGGUUAAGCACUCAACUGCUGACCUAAAGGUUGGUGGUUUGAACCCACCCAUUGGCU